AUGGUGACUGUGGAACCAGAAACCACCCCUACUCCCAACCCCCCACCUACAGAAGAAGAGAAAACAGAAUGUAGUGAGGUUGCUAACCCAGAACACUGUAUUAAAUAAACACCCUUUACAGAACAGAUGGGCACUCUGGUUUUUUAAAAAUGAUAAAAGCAAAACUUGGCAAGCAAACCUUUGAUUGAUCUCUAAGUUUGAUACUGUUGAAGACUUUUGGGCUCUGUACAACCAUAUCCAGUUAUCUAGUAAUUUAAUGCCUGGCUGUGACUACUCACUUUUUAAGGAUGGUAUUGAGCCUAUGUGGGAAGAUGAGAAAAAAAAACGAUAAGGACGAUGGCUAAUUACACUGAACAAACAGCAGAGACGAAGUGACCUCGAUAUUUUUUGGCUAGAGACACUGCUGUGCCUUAUUGGAGAAUCUUUUGAUGACUACAGUGAUGAUAUAUGUGGAGCUGCUGUUAAUGUUAGAGCUAAAGGUGAUAAGACAUGGACACGAGUUUGAGUAAACUCUGCAAGUUGGUGAUGGACAGGGAGGCCUGGCGGGCUGCAGUCCAUGGCGUCGCGAAGAGUCGGACACAACUAAGCGACUGAACUGAACUGAAAAGUGAUAAAAUAGCAAUACGGGCUACUGAAUGUGAAAACAGAGAAACUGCUACACAUAUAGGGAGGGUAUACAAGGAAAGGUUAUGACUUCCUCCAAAGAUAGUGAUUGGGUUAUCAGUCCCAUGCAGACACAGCUACUAAGAGCAGCUCCACCACUAAAAAUUGGUUUGUUGUUUAAGAAGACACUCUCUGAGUAUUCUCAUAGGCGACUGCCUCAAGCAAUCGAGAUUUGGAGGCUGAACGAAAGCCUCUUCAAAAGCAGAAUGGGCUGCAUUUAAAUUUGAGUUCCAUCUAAAUGUUGCUAAGAUAUAAGGAAGUCUCAUUAGCCUUUGUCUUGUACUUCUGUAUUCAUAUUUUCUUUUUUUUUGGCUAGAGUGUCCAUUAUCCCAAUCAAAGUAUUACAGUACACAUCAUAUCAUCCCCAGAAUCCAUACAUGUGUUCCUGGCCCACUCUGUAAUAGCUUAAUAGAAUUAACCAUUACAAAAACAUUUGACCCAUCUACAAUAUUAAAAUAAAAGAACUUGCAUUUCUAUACAAGAGAAUGAUUUUGUUUACGUUCCAUUGUAUGAGGGAGCAUAUUUUACUGGUUUGAAAGAGUAUGAUGCAUAGUUUUCUGGCAAUUUUUUUGUUUCUUUUUACAGCAUUAUCUGUGCAGUACUCUUGCUGAUGGCUGCUAGAUUUUGUUUCCCUACUUGAUAACAUUAGUGACUCUGAUUUCAGUUUUUCAUUUGUUUUGCUUUAGUUUUUCUUUCUCAUGUAACAUUGGUGAAGAAUCUAGGAAUAUGACAUAAAGGUGGAAUAAACAUUAAUUUUGUGUAUUCUUUGGUAAUUUUUUUUUGUAACUUAACUACAAUGCUUUGCUACAAAUUUAUGCUUUUCAUUCAAAGCACUGAUCUAUGUUUGUGUGGUUUCCUAAACUUAAUUGUGUAUUAUAAAAAAUGUAGUAUCAUAAUUACAUUCCUAAUUAGAAUUAGUAUGUCUGUUUUUGUAUCUUUAUGCUGUAUUUUAACACUUUGUAUUACUUAGGUUAUUUUACUUUGGUUAAAAAAUUGGCUCAAGUAGAAAAGUGGUCCCACUCCUAUUAAGACAGUGUACAAAACUGUAAACAAAAUGUGUACAGUGAAUUGUCUUUAAAAAAUAAAAUAAAAUAGUGAAACAGAA